rnacentral:rRNA from 1 species
GGAUGCCCUAGUAACGGCGAGUGAAGCGGCAACAGCUCAAAUUUGAAAUCUGGCCCUCUGGUCCGAGUUGUAAUUUGUAGAGGAUGCUUUUGGUGCGGUACCUUCCGAGUUCCCUGGAACGGGACGCCUUAGAGGGUGAGAGCCCCGUACGGUUGGAUGCCUAGCCUCUGUAAAGCUCCUUCGACGAGUCGAGUAGUUUGGGAAUGCUGCUCUAAAUGGGAGGUAAAUUUCUUCUAAAGCUAAAUACCGGCCAGAGACCGAUAGCGCACAAGUAGAGUGAUCGAAAGAUGAAAAGCACUUUGAAAAGAGGGUUAAAUAGCACGUGAAAUUGUUGAAAGGGAAGCGCUUAUGACCAGACUUUUUCCUGGCGGAUCAUCCGGUGUUCUCACCGGUGCACUUCGCUUGGUUUAGGCCAGCAUCGGUUUCCGUAGGGGGAUAAAAGCUUCGGUAAUGUGGCUCCUUCUGGAGUGUUAUAGACCGUUGUAUAAUACCCUUCUGGGGACCGAGGUUCGCGCUUCUGCAAGGAUGCUGGCAUAAUGGUCAUCAGCGACCCGUCUUGAAACACGGACCAAGGAGUCGAACAUUUGUGCGAGUGUUUGGGUGUUAAACCCUCACGCGUAAUGAAAGUGAACGGAGGUGAGAGCCUUUUAGGUGCAUCAUCGACCGAUCCUGAAGUUUACGGAUGGAUUUGAGUAAGAGCAUAACUGUUCGGACCCGAAAGAUGGUGAACUAUGCGUGGAUAGGGUGAAGCCAGAGGAAACUCUGGUGGAGGCUCGCAGCGGUUCUGACGUGCAAAUCGAUCGUCAAAUCUGCGCAUGGGGGCGAAAGACUAAUCGAACCAUUAAAACCAGCGGUAAAAAUUACUUUACUAGGUGGUUAAGAGGUGACCCGAGAGGGUUGCAAGAUACCUAGGUUGGGCCGGGCUACCCGGUACCCUUCAGCGGAGCUACCCAGUAGCAGAUUCUGAGGGGAGCUACCCGGUACCCUUAGCGGGGAUACCCGGGAGCACCAACCGACACCGCUAAAUUGCGGGGACAUCCUACAGAAGGCUCCAGGCUACCGCGGCACGCUGAAAAGCGCGUCCGCACCGAGAAUAGCGCUCUCGGGUACGGUAAUAACGCCUGGGGCUCGGGACGACCUGCAGCCAACCCCGUUACAGAUAGGGGAGAGUUCACUGACUAUACAGCGGUGGGUUAGUGGUCACACUAGCCUAAGACAUAGUCGAUCGGGGCCCUGAAAAGGUGCCCGGCGUAA